AUACGGAGGGUGCAAGCGUUAUCCGGAUUCAUUGGGUUUAAAGGGUGCGCAGGCGGACUUGUAAGUCAGUGGUGAAAUCCCGGGGCUCAACCUCGGAACUGCCAUUGAUACUGCAAGUCUUGAGUUUGAUUGAAGUGGGCGGAAUGUAGCAUGUAGCGGUGAAAUGCAUAGAUAUGCUACAGAACACCGAUCGCGAAGGCAGCUCACUAAACCAACACUGACGCUCAGGCACGAAAGCGUGGGGAGCGAACAGGAUUAGAAACCCUAGUAGUCC
rnacentral:rRNA from 1 species